UUGCAGGCUGAAAUUCGCCUGCAUGAAGCCGGAAUUGCUAGUAAUGGCAGGUCAGCAUACUGCCGUGAAUACGUUCCCGGGCCUUGUACACACCGCCCGUCACACCAUGAGAGUUGGGGAUACCCAAAGCCCGUGAGCCAACUUUAAAAGAGGCAGCGGUCUAAGGUAGAAUCAAUGAUUGGGGUGAAGUCGUAACAAGGUAUC
rnacentral:rRNA from 1 species